UACGUAGGGUGCAAGCGUUAAUCGGAAUUACUGGGCGUAAAGCGUGCGCAGGCGGUUUUGUAAGACAGGCGUGAAAUCCCCGGGCUCAACCUGGGAAUGGCGCUUGUGACUGCAAGGCUGGAGUGCGGCAGAGGGGGAUGGAAUUCCGCGUGUAGCAGUGAAAUGCGUAGAGAUGCGGAGGAACACCGAUGGCGAAGGCAGCCCCCUGGGCUAACACUGACGCUCAGGCACGAAAGCGUGGGGAGCGAACAGG
rnacentral:rRNA from 1 species